rnacentral:tRNA from 1 species
CAGGAAGUAGUUUAUUAAAAAUUUUAAUUUUGGAGAUUAAAGAAGAAUAUUUUUUUAUUUUUUCCUGA